rnacentral:misc_RNA from 1 species
CUCCAUUGUGUCUCCACAAGACUAGAUUGUGUCUUCCGCCUCCUUGAUCGGAUCAAUGUGACGGAGGAAUGUGAACGCCUGGCAGCAGUACGCCUACAGGCAGCAGCACAUGGACUGCUGGCAUGCCAACCGGUACAAACUCUCCAUAGGGAGAACCGACCGACUGUUGGCUCUAUAGUCAUUAGUAAUCACGUGUUUAUCAUCGAAGCAGGCAGUGGUGCGCCUGCAAGCAGCAGGGCAAUGUUUCCUUGUCUGAUGAAUGGUGCGGAAAAUGCGUGUGCUGCUCAGCCCCCCGCUGCUGCAAAUCACACCCUACAUGUUCGACCACCCG